CAGGAGCCUGGCCCCACCACAAGGCACUCAGCCCACACUGGCUGACAGAUCAAAGGGGGAACACAGUGGGAGGCCGCCCUAACCACGGGCCACACCUCCCUCCAGGACUCUGUCAGCUCCUCCACCAGGCCAGGCGCCAGAGGCGGUGUGGCCAGUAUAGUCACAGGCUGGGCCUGGCCCAUGGCUGGCGGGGUUGGCCCCCUAGGUACCUCCCACUGCCAGCCAGGGCGCCAGGCUACUGUGAUCUCCGGGAAAGAUCUGAACACAGCUCUGUUCUCCAAACAAAAUGCAGCACUGCGCAGCCCUCAAGAGAGGCAACCCAGCAAGACCUAUCACGUAAAGCUACUGCUAUCUGAGGCCAGACCACCACCUGCCUGUGCUGGAGACCCAGGCUCUGAACUUCCUGAGCCUUUGCUGUGUCUCUCUUGAAUUUCAAAGUCAUUGUAACCAUUUCAGGUGUCCCUGUGUCAACACACAUUUCCUUUGCAGGAAACAUCAAAUCCUGCCACACAGCCCAGGAGCUGAGGGAGCAACAAGACCCUUCCUGAGGGCAAACUAGGGUCACGAGAAUGGGGUCAGGUUCAUCAUCAACAGGCUGAAAUUGGAGGACAGAAGGACAAGAAGAACCUAGAAAGAAUCUCUAGAGUCUCCAGCACCCCAGAACCUGAUAACACUACUCCUCCAGAAAGGAUAGACCUGAGUUUAUAAACCUGUGGGAAAACAGAUGCACCUUGAGACGAUAACGUCAAGUGAAAUAAAUCAGAUUCGGCUUAAAGAUUGCAUGGCUUCUCCUAUAUGAGAAAUUCAAAAAAUCAAUAAAGAGCAAAAUAAAAGAUGUAUAAUAGGAAGUUAAGGAGAUACAUCUUUCACAAAGGGGAAGGGGACCAAGAGAUGGAGGGGAAAUGAAACAAGAAUUAAGCUCCAUAUCGUAGGCACAUGUACCCACCUCCACAUGAUGAGUGUAAUUAUUAUUAUAAUCAUGUACCGAUAAGUUUUUAAAAAUGAACUCUGCCAAAAUCAUACUCGAUAAGAUUGAACAAAAUCAGUUAUACAUGUAUACACGCACAGACACACACACACACAGAAGGGCAUGUAAGACAGGCCAAAUCUGCAUCAAAGUGACUAGGUUAUAUAAAUCUCAAUUUUCUGGUCAUGAAAUUUAUUGUUCUAUAUCUACACAAUGUUAGCUCUGGGAUAAACUGGGUUAAAGCUACAUGAGAACUGUCUGUAUUAUUUUAC